rnacentral:rRNA from 1 species
ACUUUGGUUCGGAUCCGAAGUAAUGAUCAAAGAGACAGGCGGGGACGUUUGUAUGGCAGCGCUAGAGGUGAAAUUCAUGGACCGUAGCCAGACAAACUAAAGCGAAAGCAUUCGUUGAGCAUGUUUUCAUUGGCCAUGAGCGAAAGUCAGAGGCUCGAAGACGAUCAGAUACCGUCCUAGUUCUGACCAGAAACGAUGCCAACUGACGAUCCGUAGCGGUAGUCUUCAAACCUUCCCCACGGGCAGUCCCCGGGAAACCUUUAAGUCUUUGGGUUCCGGGGGAAGUAUGGUUGCAAAGCUGAAACUUAAAGGAAUUGACGGAAGGGCACCACCAGGAGUGGAUCCUGCGGCUUAAUACGAGUCAACACAGGGAAAUGCACCCGGGCCGGACACUAUGAGGAUUGACGCAUUGAUAGCUCUUUCUUGAUUUGGUGGUUGGUGGUGCAUGGCCGUUCUUAGUUGGUGGAGCGAUUUGUCUGGAUAAUUCCGAUAACUAACGAGACUCCAGCUCGCUAAUUAGUGCAUUUGUCCACUGCACCAGCCGAGCGGCGCAGUGUCAACUGCUUGGGUUCAGUGUGGGAUUCAGUGCGUUUGUGCAGUCUACAUAGGUGAGGCUGUUCUGCAGUUUCACUGUGUAUGGCUGUACGGCGUAUUUGGCCCGCAUGAUGUACUCGGGUGGAUGGCACCACGUUAGCUAGCAGGUGCGGCGCGAAUGCUUCCUUCUUAGAGGGACACGCGGGAGAAGCCGCACGAAAUAGAGCAAUAACAGGUUGAUGAUAGCGUUAGACGUCCGUGGGCAUCGUCGGCUACAAUGGCGGUGUCAACGAGUUAGACCUUCUGGCCUGAAAAGGUUGGGUAAACUGGUCAUGACACGCAUGACAAGGAUCGGGGCUUGGAUUGUCUCCCCGUGAACCAGGAAUUCCUAGUAAGUGCAAGUCAUAAACUUGCGCUGAUUACGUCCCUGCCCUUUGAACAUCACGCCCGUCGCUACUACCGAUUGAAUGGUUAGUA